rnacentral:rRNA from 1 species
UACGUAGGGAGCAAGCGUUGUCCGGAAUCAUUGGGCGUAAAGAGCGUGUAGGCGGCCUGAAAGGUCAGCUGUGAAAACUCGAGGCUCAACCUCGAGACGUCGGUUGAAACCAUCUGGCUAGAGUCCGGAAGAGGAGUGUGGAAUUCCCGGUGUAGCGGUGAAAUGCGCAGAUAUCGGGAAGAACACCCGGUGGCGAAGGCGGCACUCUGGGACGGUACUGACGCUGAGACGGCGAAAGCGUGGGGAGCGAACAGG